rnacentral:tRNA from 1 species
CAGGACGUAGUAUUUUGGCAAUACGCCGGGUUGUGGUCCCGGAGACGGAGUUCGAUUCUCCCCGUCCUGA